rnacentral:rRNA from 1 species
GAUGAACGCUGGCGGUGUGCCUAAUACAUGCAAGUCGAGCGAACAGACGAGGAGCUUGCUCCUCUGAUGUUAGCGGCGGACGGGUGAGUAACACGUGGAUAACCUACCUAUAAGACUGGGAUAACUUCGGGAAACCGGAGCUAAUACCGGAUAACAUGUUGAACCGCAUGGUUCAACAGUGAAAGACGGUCUUGCUGUCACUUAUAGAUGGAUCCGCGCCGCAUUAGCUAGUUGGUAAGGUAACGGCUUACCAAGGCAACGAUGCGUAGCCGACCUGAGAGGGUGAUCGGCCACACUGGAACUGAGACACGGUCCAGACUCCUACGGGAGGCAGCAGUAGGGAAUCUUCCGCAAUGGGCGAAAGCCUGACGGAGCAACGCCGCGUGAGUGAAGAAGGCCUUCGGAUCGUAAAACUCUGUUAUUAGGGAAGAACAAAUGUGUAAGUAACUAUGCACGUCUUGACGGUACCUAAUCAGAAAGCCACGGCUAACUACGUG